ACUUGGCUACUCUUAGAUCAUUGCCGCAUUCUAUUGAGUCAGAAAUGCAGAAGGUAAGAGUUAGCUUGACAUCAACAAUUAACCUCUUAAACUGAGUAGAACUGUCAUGGUCUGAUACCUUACAGGUGAUACAACAUGACUUGGUUGCUGCAAGGCAAGAAGACAGGAAACUGCGCCACUGCAGGCCAACUAUUAUGCAAAUCCCAAACACUACAACCCUGUUUUCCGUGAAAUAAAUUGCCCCUUAUGCAUCUGUAAUUGGUAUGCUUUACACGCUGCUAUCAACUUUUUCAGGCAAAACAGUAGGGUUAAUGACAUUUACUGAGUGUUUUACUUGGAAUAUAAAUUAAGAAGGAUUCUGGAAAUAUUACGGUUAUCCAUUUCAUCUUUUCGUAAUGAUAAUUUUAUUUUUCACAAAUUUUCGGCUGGCAGUGAAUUGCAUGUA